rnacentral:rRNA from 1 species
CCUACGGGAGGCAGCAGUGGGGAAUUCUGCACAAUGCCCGAAAGGGUGAUGCAGCAACGCCGCGUGAGGGAUGAAGGCCCUCGGGUCGUAAACCUCUUUCGAUCGGGAAAAACGGGCGGGUGAAGAACCCGUUCUGAUGGUACCGGAUGAAGAAGCCCCGGCCAACUACGUGCCAGCAGCCGCGGUAAU